UACGUAGGGUGCUAGCGUUGUCCGGAAUCAUUGGGCGUAAAGAGCGUGUAGGCGGCCCGGUAAGUCCGCUGUGAAAGUCGGGGGCUCAACCCUCGAAUGCCGGUGGAUACUGUCGGGCUAGAGUGCGGAAGAGGCGAGUGGAAUUCCUGGUGUAGCGGUGAAAUGCGCAGAUAUCAGGAGGAACACCGAUUGCGAAGGCAGCUCGCUGGGACGUAACUGACGCUGAGACGCGAAAGCGUGGGGAGCAAACAGG
rnacentral:rRNA from 1 species